rnacentral:rRNA from 1 species
AUUGAACGCUGGCGGCAGGCCUAACACAUGCAAGUCGAGCGAGCGGCAGACGGGUGAGUAAUGCCUAGGAAUCUGCCUGGUCGUGGGGGAUAACGUCCGGUAACGGGCGCUGAUACCGCAUCCUCUCAGAUUUGCCCAGAUGGGAGUGGCUUGUGGGGGGGGUAACGGCUCACCAAGGCGACGAUCCCUAGCGGGUCUGAGAGGAUGACCAGCCACACUGGAACUGAGACACGGGCCAGACUCCUACGGGAGGCAGCAGUGGGGAAUAUUGCACAAUGGGCGCAAGCCGGAUGCAGCCAUGCCGCGUGUAUGAAGAAGGCCUUCGGGUUGUAAAGUACUUUCAGCGGGGAGGCGUUACCCGCAGAAGAAGCACCGGCUAACUCCGUGCCAGCAGCCGCGGUAAUUC